GACGAACGCUGGCGGCGUGCUUAACACAUGCAAGCCGAACGGAAAGGCCCUGCUUUUGUGGGGCGCUCGAGUGGCGAACGGGUGAGUAACACGUGAGUAACCUGCCCUUUACUUUGGGAUAACUUCAUGAAACUGGGGCUAAUACCGGAUAGGAGCUCCUUCUGCAUGGUGGGGGUUGGAAAGUUUCGGCGGUUGGGGAUGGACUCGCGGCUUAUCAGCUUGUUGGUGGGGUAGUGGCUUACCAAGGCUUUGACGGGUAGCCGGCCUGAGAGGGUGACCGGCCACAUUGGGACUGAGAUACGGCCCAGACUCAUACGGGAGGCAGCAGUGGAGAAUAUUGCACAAUGGGCGGAAGCCUGAUGCAGCAACGCCGCGUGCGGGAUGACGGCCUUCGGGUUGUAAACCGCUUUCGCCUGUGACGAAGCGUGAGUGACGGUAAUGGGUAAAGAAGCACCGGCUAACUACGUG
rnacentral:rRNA from 1 species